rnacentral:lncRNA from 10 species
GGCAGGUCCAGGGGACCGGAGCAGAGGCUUGCUCACGGCCCAGAGCUCUCAGCCUCCACCCAAUUUAUUGGUUUACAAGCUCUUUGUUCUCAGGGCAAAUGGGAGAGGUAAGAAGGGAUGAGGAAAAGAAUUAAUCAGUAAAGGAGAACUUGUGAGUCAUUCAAUAAAAUGUAUAGCAGUGGCGGUUUCUGUCAAUUUCCUCGAGCAAAGGCGUGUGUCUAAACUACUUAAGCUCUUACCAGGACCGAAACAGGUGGGAGCGGGUUUCAGCAGGAGCCAAGUUGUUUGAUUAUACUCCAGUACUUCAAGGGAGUGUUAUCUCCCCACGCACCCGUGGCAUGCCCCGAGCUGUUAUGCUCUCGGGGCAUCAAGACAUGAAGGCAAUAAGGAUGUGUCUGGAAUUGGUGGGUUCUUGGUCUCACUGACUUCAAGAAUGAAGCCGCAGACCCUCGUGGUGAGUGUUACAGUUCUUAAAGGUGGCGUGUCCGGAGUUUGUUCCUUCUGAUGUUCGGAUGUGUUCGCUCUUCUGGUGGGUUCGUGGUCUUGCUGGCUCAGGAGUGAAGCUGCAGACCUUCGCAGUGAGUGUUACAGCUCUUAAGGUGGCACGUCUGGAGUUGUUCUCUCCUCCCAGUGGGUUCGUGGUCUCGCUGGCUUCAAGAGUGAAGCUACAGACCUUCACGGUGAGUGUCACAGCUCAUAAAAGCAGUGUGGACCCAAAGAGUGAGCAGCAGCAAGAUUUACUGCAAAGAGCAAAAGAACAAAGCUUCCACAGUGUAACAGGGUUCCCAAGCAGGUUGCCACCGCAAGCUCAGG